rnacentral:rRNA from 1 species
GAUGAACGCUAGCGGCAGGCCUAAUACAUGCAAGUCGAACGGGAUCCAGAUCAAAGCUUGCUUUGGUCUGGGGAGAGUGGCGCACGGGUGCGUAACGCGUGAGCAACCUACCCUUGUCAGGGGGAUAGCCCGGCGAAAGUCGGAUUAAUACCGCAUGACAUCAUUGAGAGGCAUCUUUCGAUGAUCAAAGAUUUAUCGGACAAGGAUGGGCUCGCGUGACAUUAGCUAGUUGGUAAGGUAACGGCUUACCAAGGCUGCGAUGUCUAGGGGCUCUGAGAGGAGAAUCCCCCACACUGGUACUGAGACACUGACCAGACUCCUACGGGAGGCAGCAGUAAGGAAUAUUGGUCAAUGGACGGAAGUCUGAACCAGCCAUGCCGCGUGCAGGAAGACGGCCCUAUGGGUUGUAAACUGCUUUUAUACGGGAACAAACGUCGGUACGUGUACCGGUCUGAGUGUACCGUAAGAAUAAGGAUCGGCUAACUCCGUG